GGUUUUAGAGGAUGAUCAGCAACACUGGGACUGAGACACGGCCCAGACUCCUACGGGAGGCAGCAGUGGGGAAUCUUAGACAAUGGGCGCAAGCCUGAUCUAGCCAUGCCGCGUGAGUGAUGAAGGCCUGAGGGUAGUAAAGCUCUUUCGCCUGUGAAGAUAAUGACUGUAGCAGGUAAAGAAACCCCGGCUAACUCCGUGCCAGCAGCCGCGGUAAUACGGAGGGGGUUAGCGUUGUUCGGAAUUACUGGGCGUAAAGCGCGCGUAGGUGGUUUGAUAAGCGAGAUGUGAAAGCCCCGGGCUUAA
rnacentral:rRNA from 1 species